GCUAGUGUGGUGUAAUGGUUCAAACAUUGGACUACGACUCUGAAGACCAAGGUUCAAAUCCCUGCUCGGCCA